UACGUAGGUGGCGAGCGUUGUCCGGAUUUACUGGGCGUAAAGAGCGCGCAGGCGGUCAAGUCAGUCGAAUGUGAAAGCCCCCGGCUCAACUGGGGAGGGUCAUUCGAUACUGCUCGACUUGAAGGCAGGAGAGGGAAGUGGAAUUCCCGGUGUAGUGGUGAAAUGCGUAGAUAUCGGAAGGAACACCAGUGGCGAAAGCGGCUUCCUGGUCCAGCACCGACGUUCAGGCACGAAAGCGUGGGGAGCAAACAGG
rnacentral:rRNA from 1 species